CAGAAAUCCCUCAGAAAAAAAACAUAAAGAGGAUCGCCGUCUGGGUCGAAUGAUUGAGGACAUCCUCAAGAGUAGCCCUGGAGGUGAUAAGAUCACACAUGAGUAUGCUCGCACAAAAACAUUGUCAGAUGUCAGAAGACGUGACCUAGUGAAGAUACUAGUUGCACAUCUGACAAAUGAGCAUGGCACAAGCCCCCCUAGGAGAUUGAAGGAGGAAUACGCCAAAGGAAUCAUCUGCCUUUUUCCUUACUUGGCUGACCCCCGGAGCAAGCUUGGCUAUGAACAUUUUUAUAAUGCUGAAGAUGGAAGUGGGUAUUUGGCUUGGAGAAUCAAAACUCUG